CACUCCUUCAAUCACUCACUCCACUCUAGGAGGAGUAAGAACAAAACAAUCACUGACUUUCGUGACCAAUCACGCCUUUCGCGUCUUACCCUCUCCUACGGUUUGCCAAACUUAGGGCUCCUAGGUCCCAAUGACCUAAUACUAAGCUCUGAUACCAACUUAAUCUGUCACGCCCGGAUUUCUCAUUUUCACGAGCACGCUAACAGACCCGCUGUAUACAUAAAAAUUUUUUCUGUAUACGAAGCGAAGCUGUACCUGUACCUGUAAUCAAACAACACUACAACCAGUAGUAUA
rnacentral:lncRNA from 1 species